rnacentral:rRNA from 1 species
GGCGACGAUGGUUAGCUGGUCUGAGAGGAUGAUCAGCCACACUGGAACUGGAACACGGUCCAGACUCCUACGGGAGGCAGCAGUGAGGAAUUUUGCGCAAUGGGGGAAACCCUGACGCAGCAACGCCGCGUGAGCGAAGAAGGCCCUCGGGUCGUAAAGCUCUGUCAAGUGGAAAAAAAAUCUUUUGAUCAAUAGUCAAAAGACUUGAUGGUACCACUGGAGGAAGCACCGGCUAACUCCGUGCCAGCAGCCGCGGUAAUACGGAGGGUGCAAGCGUUGUUCGGAUUUACUGGGCGUAAAGAGCGUGUAGGCGGUUUAGCAAGUCAGAUGUGAAAGCCCUGGGCUCAACCCGGGAAGUGCAUUUGAAACUGCUUCACUAGAGUAUGGGAGAGGAGAUUGGAAUUCCUGGUGUAGAGGUGAAAUUCGUAGAUAUCAGGAGGAACACCCGUGGCGAAGGCGAUUCUCUGGACCAAUACUGACGCUGAGACGCGAAAGCGUGGGGAGCAAACAGGAUUAGAUACCCUGGUAGUCCACGCCGUAAACGAUGAGAACUAGGUGUAGUGGGUAUUGACCCCUGCUGUGCCGAAGUUAACGCAUUAAGUUCUCCGCCUGGGGAGUACGGCCGCAAGGCUAAAACUCAAAGGAAUUGACGGGGGCCCGCACAAGCGGUGGAGCAUGUGGUUUAAUUCGACGCAACGCGAAAAACCUUACCUGGGUUUGACAUCCUCUGAUCGUCUGGGAAACCAGAUUUUUCCGGCUUUGUCGGAACAGAGUGACAGGUGCUGCAUGGCUGUCGUCAGCUCGUGUCGUGAGAUGUUGGGUUAAGUCCCGCAACGAGCGUAACCCUUGUCUUUAGUUGCCAUUAUUAAGUUAGGCACUCUAAAGAGACUGCCUCGGUUAACGGGGAGGAAGGUGGGGAUGACGUCAAGUCCUCAUGGCCUUUAUAUCCAGGGCUACACACGUGCUACAAUGGGCUGUACAAAGGGUUGCUAUCCCGCGAGGGGGCGCUAAUCCCAAAAAGCAGUUCUCAGUUCGGAUUGAAGUCUGCAACUCGACUUCAUGAAGGUGGAAUCGCUAGCAAUCGUGGAUCAGCAUGCCACGGUGAAUACGUUCCCGGGCCUUGUACGCACCGCCCGUCACACCACGAAAGUCGACUGUACCAGAAGUUGCUGGGCUAACCUCUUCGGAGGAGGCAGGUACCUAAGGUACGGCCGGUAAUUGGGGUGAAGUCAACAAGGUA